UGGGGAAUAUUGGACAAUGGAGGAAACUCUGAUCCAGCAAUUCUGUGUGUGUGAAGAAGGUUUUAGGACUGUAAAACACUUUUAGUAGGGAAGAAAAAAUUACGGUACCUACAGAAGAAGCAACGGCUAAAAACCUGCCAGCAGCCGCGGUAAUACGUAUGUUGCGAGCCUUAUCCGGAAUUAAUGGGCUUAAAGGGCAUCUAGGCGGUAAGACAAGUUGAAGGUGAAAACCUGUGGCUCAACCAUAGGCUUGCCUACAAAACGGUUGAACUAGAGUACUGGAAAGGUGGGUGGAACUACACGAGUAGAGGUGAAAUUCGUAGAUAUGUGUAGGAAGGCCGAGGAUGAAGAUAACUCACUGGACAGAAACUGACGCUGAAGUGCGAAAGCGAGGGGAGCAAACAGG
rnacentral:rRNA from 1 species